rnacentral:rRNA from 1 species
UAGGGAAUCUUCCGCAAUGGACGAAAGUCUGACGGAGCAACGCCGCGUGAGUGAAGAAGGAUUUCGGUUCGUAAAACUCUGUUGUUAGGGAAGAAAAAAUGUAUAGUAACUAUAUACAAAAGAGACGGUACCUAACCAGAAAGCCACGGCUAACUACGUGCCAGCAGCCGCGGUAAUACGUAGGUGGCAAGCGUUGUCCGGAAUUAUUGGGCGUAAAGCGCGCGCAGGUGGUUUAGAAAGUCUGAUGUGAAAGCCCACGGCUCAACCGUGGAGGGUCAUUGGAAAAUAAUAAACUUGAGUGCAGGAGAGAAAAGUGGAAUUCCUAGUGUAGCGGUGAAAUGCGUAGAGAUUAGGAGGAACACCGGUGGCGAAAGCGGCUUUUUGGCCUGCAACUGACACUGAGGCGCGAAAGCGUGGGGAGCAAACAGG